AUGGAAACCAGAACGUGGAUUUUCCUCCAAAUUUUAUAAGCUUCUAGAAACCCCAAUGAUGAGAAACAAAUGCGAAAAGUUCACAAAAGCAGUGGUUGCUUAAGAGAAAAAAUUCUUAAAGCCCUAUUGCUUUUAUGAUGAACAGACCUGGCGUGAAGGAUAUUAAUUAUCUUGUAUACCAUUCUUUAAACAGGAAGCUCUUCUGGGAAUAAUCUCAGAUUUGAUGAAUUGUCAGUUGUGACCAUCUCUCUUCUUCUCUAUGAAAGCCCUGUUCUCACUCUCAACUCUAAACGACAGCUUCCAAUACUUUCCAGAAGUCUACGGAGGAAAUUAAGGCACAAAUUUCCCUGUAGCCAGAGGACCCACCCACUGUGCCGGCU
rnacentral:lncRNA from 1 species